CUACGGGAGGCAGCAGUCGGGAAUUUUGGGCAAUGGGCGAAAGCCUGACCCAGCAACGCCGCGUGAAGGAUGAAGUAUUUCGGUAUGUAAACUUCGAAAGAAUAGGAAGAAUUAAUGACGGUACUAUUUAUAAGGUCCGGCUAACUACGUGCCAGCAGCCGCGGUAAUACGUAGGGACCAAGCGUUGUUCGGAUUUACUGGGCGUAAAGGGCGCGUAGGCGGCAUAUUAAGUCAGCUGUGAAAUCUCCGAGCUUAACUCGGAACUGUCAGCUGAUACUGAUGUGCUAGAGUGCAGAAGGGGCAAUCGGAAUUCUUGGUGUAGCGGUGAAAUGCGUAGAUAUCAAGAGGAACACCUGAGGUGAAGACGGGUUGCUGGGCUGACACUGACGCUGAGUGCGCGAAAGCCAGGGGAGCAAACGGGAUUAGAUACCCCGGU
rnacentral:rRNA from 1 species